UGGGGGAUAUUGCACAAUGGGCGAAAGCCUGAUGCAGCGACGCCGCGUGGGGGAUGAAGGCCUUCGGGUUGUAAACUUCUUUUGCUCUGAACAAGGCAUGCCUUUGGGGUGUGUUGAGUGUAGGGGUUGAUUAGCGCCGGCUAACUACGUGCCAGCAUCCGCGGUAAUACGUAGGGCGCGAGCGUUGUCCGGAAUUAUUGGGCGUAAAGGGCUUGUAGGUGGCUGGUUGCGUCUGUCGUGAAAGCUCAUGGCUUAACUGUGGGUUUGCGGUGGGUACGGGCUGGCUUGAGGGGAGUAGGGGAGGCUGGAAUUCCUGGUGUAGAGGUGGAAUGCGCAGAUAUCAGGAGGAAUACCGGUGGCGAAGGCGGGUCUCUGGGCUGUUACUGACGCUGAGGAGCGAAAGCGUGGGGAGCGAACAGG
rnacentral:rRNA from 1 species